UUCCGGUUGAUCCUGCCGGAAGCCACCGCUAUCAGGAUGCGAUUAAGCCAUGCGAGUCGCGAGUCCUAGGGACUCGGCAGACUGCUCAGUAACACGUGGACAACCUACCCUCGAGAGAGGAAUAACCCCGGGAAACUGGGACUAAUGCCUCAUAGGUCUGGGACGCUGGAAUGCCCCCAGGCUGAAAUGCUCCGGCGCUCGAGGAUGGGUCUGCGGCCGAUUAGGUAGUUGCAGGGGUAACGUCCCUGCAAGCCAGUAAUCGGUACGGGCUCUGAAAGGAGGAGCCCGGAGAUGGACUCUGAGACACCAGUCCAGGCCCUACGGGGCGCAGCAGGCGCGAAACCUUUACAAUGUGGGAAACCCGCGAUAAGGGGAUCCUGAGUGCCCGCGCACAGCGUGGGCUGUUCCCGAGCCUAAAAAGCUCGGGUUAGGAAGGACCGGGCAAGACCGGUGCCAGCCGCCGCGGUAACACCGGCGGUCCGAGUGGUGGUCGAUAUUAUUGGGCCUAAAGCGUCCGUAGCCUGCCAGGUAAGUCCUUUGGGAAAUCCGGUUGCUCAACCUCCGGAAUGCCGAGGGAAACUGCCUGGCUAGGGACCGGGAGAGGCUGUGGGUACGUCGGGGGUAGGGGUGAAAUCCUGUAAUCCUCGACGGACCACCUGUGGCGAAGGCUCACAGCUGGAACGGAUCCGACGGUGAGGGACGAAAGCCAGGGGCACGAACCGGAUUAGAUACCCGGGUAGUCCUGGCCGUAAACGAUGCCCGCUCGGUGCUGGUGGUGGUACGUCCGCCAUCGGUGCCCUAGUGAAGACGUGAAGCGGGCCGCCUGGGAAGUACGUCCGCAAGGAUGAAACUUAAAGGAAUUGGCGGG
rnacentral:rRNA from 1 species